UACGGAGGGUGCGAGCGUUGUCCGGAAUCAUUGGGCGUAAAGGGCGCGUAGGUGGCCCGGUCAGUCUUUGGUGAAAGCGCGGGGCUCAACCCUGCGUCGGCCAGGGAUACUGCCGCGGCUCGAGCACUGUAGAGGCAGGCGGAAUUCCGGGUGUAGCGGUGGAAUGCGUAGAGAUCCGGAAGAACACCGGUGGCGAAGGCGGCCUGCUGGGCAGUUUAGCUGACACUGAGGCGCGAAAGCGUGGGGAGCGAACAGG
rnacentral:rRNA from 1 species